UGGGGAAUUUUGGACAAUGGGCGCAAGCCUGAUCCAGCCAUGCCGCGUGCGGGAAGAAGGCCUUCGGGUUGUAAACCGCUUUGUCAGGGAAGAAAAGGUUCUGGCUAAUACCUGGGACUCAUGACGGUACCUGAAGAAUAAGCACCGGCUAACUACGUGCCAGCAGCCGCGGUAAUACGUAGGGUGCAAGCGUUAAUCGGAAUUACUGGGCGUAAAGCGUGCGCAGGCGGUUAUGCAAGACAGAGGUGAAAUCCCCGGGUCUCAACCUGGGAACUGCCUUUGUGACUGCAUGGCUAGAGUACGGUAGAGGGGGAUGGAAUUCCGCGUGUAGCAGUGAAAUGCGUAGAUAUGCGGAGGAACACCGAUGGCGAAGGCAAUCCCCUGGACCUGUACUGACGCUCAUGCACGAAAGCGUGGGGAGCAAACAGGAUUAGAUACCCUGGUAGUCCACGCCCUAAACGAUGUCAACUGGUUGUUGGGAGGGUUUCUUCUCAG
rnacentral:rRNA from 1 species